UAUAAUUAGCAAAAUGUUGUUAAUUUUCCAAAAAAUAUCUUAAAGAUAUUCAUUUAAUCAUCUAAGUAUUGUUUUUUAGAUGAGUUCAAUUUGAUGUUCUAUAAAUAGCUUAUGCUAUUGGAUUAAAUAAAUACGUCAAAUAAUGAUGCUAUAAAGGGAAUAUAUUUUUAAAGAGGACUCAGUACUUUGUAUUUCUUCUAAAUACCAUCUGAAAGCAUAUAAUUAUAAUUAAUCCAGGUUUUUUAAAUAUUUUAAUUAUAAAUAUGUAAGAUUCUUAUCUUUGAUAAUGGCUAUUAAAAAUGAAUGUAAGUCACUUGGCUCCCAUGUUCUAUUCUUUCUCUCUCUUUCUGUGAUUUUUCUCUUUCUAUCCAACUACUAACUACUUAGGGAUUCUUCCAGGAAGGCUCUCGAAAGUCGAAGACUCCUUGAAAUUGUCAAAGGUUGUAGGAUGACUCUCGUCCCUUUCACCGUCAAUAUUUGCAGUCCUCAUUAGUCGCAUAUUAUUUAUUACAUAGAACAACUACGGUGUCGGCGGAGGCGGUGGCGGUGGAUACAACUUUCCGUCAUGGAACUAUGGUUGCACACUUGAAAACAACACUCAAACAGGAGCAUUCGAAACAUUUUAUAAUGGAGUAAGGGAAUCCAAGCGGC
rnacentral:misc_RNA from 1 species